GAUGAAGAACGUAGCGAAAUGCGAUAAGUAAUGUGAAUUGCAGAAUUCAGUGAAUCAUCGGAUCUUUGAACGCACAUUGCGCCCCCUGGUAUUCCGGGGGGCAUGCCUGUUCGAGCGUCAUUUCACCACUCAAGCCUCGCUUGGUAUUGGGCAACGCGGUCCGCCGCGUGCCUCAAAUCGACCGGCUGGGUCUUCUGUCCCCUAAGCGUUGUGGAAACUAUUCGCUAAAGGGUGCUCGGGAGGCUACGCCGUAAAACAAACCCAUUUCUAAGGUUGACCUCGGAUCAGGUAGGGAUACCCGCUGAACUUAAGCAUAUCAAUAAGCGGAGGG
rnacentral:misc_RNA from 1 species